CCCAACAGGGAUUGCCCUAGUAACGGCGAGUGAAGCGGCAACAGCUCAAAUUUGAAAUCUGGCUUCGGCCCGAGUUGUAAUUUGUAGAGGAAGCUUUAGGCGCGGCACCUUCUGAGUCCCCUGGAACGGGGCGCCAUAGAGGGUGAGAGCCCCGUAUAGUUGGAUGCCUAGCCUGUGUAAAGCUCCUUCGACGAGUCGAGUAGUUUGGGAAUGCUGCUCAAAAUGGGAGGUAAAUUUCUUCUAAAGCUAAAUAUUGGCCAGAGACCGAUAGCGCACAAGUAGAGUGAUCGAAAGAUGAAAAGCACUUUGAAAAGAGGGUUAAAUAGCACGUGAAAUUGUUGAAAGGGAAGCGCUUGUGACCAGACUUGCGCCGGGCGGAUCAUCCGGUGUUCUCACCGGUGCACUCCGCCCGGCUCAGGCCAGCAUCGGUUCUCGUGGGGGGAUAAAGGCCCUGGGAACGUAGCUCCUCCGGGAGUGUUAUAGCCCAGGGUGUAAUGCCCUCGCGGGGACCGAGGUUCGCGCAUCUGCAAGGAUGCUGGCGUAAUGGUCAUCAGCGACCCGUCUUGAAACACGGACCAAGGAGUCAAGGUUUUGCGCGAGUGUUUGGGUGUUAAACCCGCACGCGUAAUGAAAGUGAACGUAGGUGAGAGCUUCGGCGCAUCAUCGACCGAUCCUGAUGUAUUCGGAUGGAUUUGAGUAGGAGCGUUAAGCCUUGGACCCGAAAGAUGGUGAACUAUGCUUGGAUAGGGUGAAGCCAGAGGAAACUCUGGUGGAGGCUCGCAGCGGUUCUGACGUGCAAAUCGAUCGUCAAAUCUGAGCAUGGGGCGAAAGACUAAUCGA
rnacentral:rRNA from 1 species